rnacentral:pre_miRNA from 1 species
AGGUCUUCAAUAAGUAUUUGUUGAAAGAAUAACCGAACCAACAAGUCUUUAUUUGAGCACUUGUUAUG